GACCUGGCUCGGGAUGAACGCUAGCUACAGGCUUAACACAUGCAAGUCGAGGGGCAGCAUGUUGGUUGCUUGCAACCGAUGAUGGCGACCGGCGCACGGGUGAGUAACGCGUAUCCAACCUACCCUUGUCCAUCGGAUAACCCGUCGAAAGGCGGCCUAACACGAUAUGCGGUUCACAGCAGGCAUCUAACGUGAACGAAAUGUGAAGGAGAAGGAUGGGGAUGCGUCUGAUUAG
rnacentral:rRNA from 1 species